rnacentral:tRNA from 1 species
AAUAAGGUGCCUGAUAAAAAGGAUUAUUUUGAUAGAAUAAAAAAUGUAUUUAAAUACCCUUAUUA